AUUGAACGCUGGCGGCAUGCCUUACACAUGCAAGUCGAACGGCAGCACGGGAGCAAUCCUGGUGGCGAGUGGCGAACGGGUGAGUAAUACAUCGGAACGUGCCCAAUCGUGGGGAUAACGUAGCGAAAGCUACGCUAAUACCGCAUACGAUCUACGGAUGAAAGCAGGGGAUCGCAAGACCUUGCGCGAAUGGAGCGGCCGAUGGCAGAUUAGGAGUUGGUGGGUAAAGGCUCACCAAGCCGACGAUCUGUAGCUGGUCUGAGAGGACGACCAGCCACACUGGGACUGAGACACGGCCCAGACUCCUACGGGAGGCAGCAGGUGGGAAUUUUGGACAAUGGGCGCAAGCCUGAUCCAGCCAUGCCGCGU
rnacentral:rRNA from 1 species